CAGUAGCCGCGGGAAUACGAAGGGUGCAAGCGUUACUCGGAAUUACUGGGCGUAAAGCGUGCGUAGGUGGUGGUUUAAGUCCGUUGUGAAAGCCCUGGGCUCAACCUGGGAAUUGCAGUGGAUACUGGGUCACUAGAGUGUGGUAGAGGAUAGUGGAAUUUCCGGUGUAGCAGUGAAAUGCGUAGAGAUCGGAAGGAACAUCUGUGGCGAAGGCGACUAUCUGGGCCAACACUGACACUGAGGCACGAAAGCGUGGGGAGCAAACAGGAUUAGAUACCGCGUAGUCCCUGUCUCUUAUACA
rnacentral:rRNA from 1 species